UACGUAGGGGGCAAGCGUUGUCCGGAAUCAUUGGGCGUAAAGCGCGUGUAGGUGGCAAGGCAAGUCGGGUGUGAAAGCCCUGGGCUCAACCCAGGAAGUGCACUCGAUACUGCCUCGCUAGAGUCCCGGAGAGGUUGGUGGAACUCUCGGUGUAGAGGUGAAAUUCGUAGAUAUCGAGAAGAACACCGGUGGCGAAGGCGGCCAACUGGACGGUGACUGACACUGAGACGCGAAAGCGUGGGGAGCAAACAGG
rnacentral:rRNA from 1 species